UGAUGAAUGCGUCACCGUGUGGGGCAGAACUAAAAUGAAAAAUGGACGUCGUUAGAGGACGAGUGAUUCACACUGUAAAUUUUUGGAAUUAUGGUCUGGUGUGAUGAUCGAUGGUCAGCGCUACAGUGAAAAGAAAUUCAAGAAUUCGUGAGACGACCGCACAACCGUGUAAUUCAUGUUUGAGUGCAUCAGCGAAAAAAGGAAGAAAAAUAUUCAUGGGAAGAAAAAAUUUUCAAUCGGAGAAAGUAAUGCAGAGAUAGCAAGAAAGUUGCUGAUUCUAACCCCAAAAAAAGAAACGAGAAAAAUGAAUUCCAAACAAGCGAAGCAACGAGCAAAACUAUUGUUAGAUAAUUGGCCUUGACAGGCUUUACCUUACGACUUGCUGUUAGGAUCGUAAAGCCCCAAAACAGCUGCCUUCUUUAUUCACUUGGCCCCAUCUUUCGUUGUGGUGUUAUUCAUCAACAAUAGUCUAAUGUUGAAACACGUGCCAUUUCCUUAUGCGCUGAAAUAGAUUGACUGCGUAUAAAUUUUUGUUUGAAUACUUAAACUGAAGGCUCUUUUCCGUUUGAAUAAAAACCCAUCAGACGUCCUGUCGAGUUGGCACAAAGAACGGCCUGCAAAGCGAAUAGUCCUGGAAAUAGCUAGUAUACUAUCACUAAGCCCGAUAUACAACGUGACGAAGCAGAAGCUGUCUAGUAAAGAACAGUUGAAGCAUGAAGGUAAACAGGCUGCUGUCAAAUGAAGUUUUUCGCUCAAAUGUUUAUCUUGCAAUUUUCUUGGUACAAUGGCAACAUUUCCGAAUCUGUCUUUUUUUUUCUAUGAGGAAUAAACAGCGAAAAUAAGCUA